GCCAUACGGCUCUGGGUACCCGGGGGAUGUCAGCUGCUGGGGUAGCUCUUGGGCCAAGAGGACGGAGCCCCGGGUUGGGCAAGCCUGGAGGACUCCCCAGAGAAGCAGCCACCACCUAACUCUUAGGGUCACCUGGAGCACCUUGGGAGCCAGAGAUGCAGCCAAAGAGUGAACAAUGGUACCAAUCCCAAGACCCAUGUGUUAAGAAGAAACCAGCCAAGACUCAGAUCAGGAUUGGGGAGUCCACCCCUCGUUUCCCUUCAGAGCAUUAUUUCCUUGUUUGCUAAGAGGGGCAGGAACUGGAAAACUCAGGCUAGCCCAUCUGAGAAGACUUUCCUGGAGAUGAGCUGGAGGAGGGAGGAGUAAGGCCUUGGAAGGAAACUCCAGGACAGCACCACCUCCCCUACACUGGGACCUCGUCUCUAACUGGCAGAGUGGUCAAUGAAAAAAAGGGCAUGCCUUGGCACAUCAUGGUCAAACUGCUAAAAGCCAAAGACAAGAGAAAAUCUUUUCUUUUUUUUAAUCCCAUCCUAAAGACUAGACAGAACAAUAUUUUCAAUGUCACUCUUUUCUCAUCAAAACCAAUAUAGACCAGAAGACAGUGGAAUAUCUCUAAAAUGCUGAAGGAAAAAAAAAGUCAACUCAGAAUUGUUUUUCUAGUGAAAGUAUUCUUCCAGAAUGAAGAUGAAAUAAAGCUAUUUUCAGAUAAAAGAAAACAGAGAUUCUUGUCGCCAGCAGACCUCCACUAUGAGAAGCGCUAAAGAAAGUUCUUUAGGACGGGCACGAUAGCUCACGCCUAUAAUCCCAGCAUUUUGGGAGGCCAAGGUGGGAGGAUUGCUUGAGCUCGGAAGAUGGAGGCUGCAGUGAGCCAUGACGGUGCCACUGCACUCCAGCUUGGGUGACAGAGUGAGACGCUGUCUCAAAUUGGAAGAGCAGAGCUGCAGACAGGAAUAAGAAGAACGGUAAAUUUGAAGGUAAAUAUAAAAUACGAUUUUCUUUUUAAUGUCUUUAAAAUAUGUAGAACUGUUCCAGGCAAAAAUUAUAACAUUGUAUUGUGAGGUUUAUAACAUAUGUAGCUGUAACAUAUAUGAAGACUGUAGUAUAAAGCAGGGGUCCCCAACCCCUGAGCCGUGGACCAGUAUUGGAGGUGAGUGGUGGUGAGCAAGCAAAGCUUCAUCUGU
rnacentral:lncRNA from 1 species